ensembl:lncRNA
UAUAUAUAUUACGCCAAUUAGCUCAAAGAUACAAGAAGAACAAAUUGAGUGCAUUUUGCAGUUAUUGUUGAUAAACAGAAUACAUAAGACCAUUAAUCAUUGCAAGGAUUAUGAAUGCCCUGUGUGUCACAGCAGUUAUUUUAAUGGUGUUCUUCCAGAUCAGUUUUCCUUGCUGGGGUGGUCGGUGGGAGGUUGAGUCCUAGCAGAAUGGUGUUGGUCCAGUUUUUAGAAUGUGAGGCUACUCUUCAGGGGAUCAUCGGAAAAGUGCAAGAUGCCACUGGAAGUCAUGACCCCAUGGUAUUGACUGAUGCAUAGGGGAAUGCAAUUUUGGUGUCAGAAGAGACAACAGGUCGAUGGAGAUGGUGAGGAUCGGGGUGUUUCCAGGAGCUGGUGUAACGGAGUUGGAUGCAGGCAAAUAGACGUAGGACACACAUACAGGAACACACGAGGGAACUAUAGGAGAUCAAGGAUUCUUGAAUCGACAUGUAAGUAAUACUGCAUAGGUUCAAGUCCUUUUCCACAUGGGAGACCAGACGAUGUGACUGUGUGAACGGUGUUCUUAUAGUGCUGUGCUGGUGAUUAGUGAAUGACAAUCAGGUGUGCAUGAUCAGUAUUCUGGUGAUUGUGAGUACUGAUAGGUGAAAAUGCCUGGCGUGUCUGUGACAGAACCCCCCUCUCCACGGCCCACUCCUGAGGGCCUAAGAUACCAACGUCGUGGUGGGUGACCCCUACCACGUGAAGCUGGAUUGUGAGGAUUGGAGGCAUGUAAUGUCAUCCCUUUGAACCUAUGAUCUUUCCUCUGGGCUGUACCCCUCCCAGUCAACGAGGUACUCCAAUCUGCCACCACAACGUUGGGAACUCAGAAUCUCCCUUACUGAAUGUUGUUCCAUCUUCCAGCCCCAUCAGUAGAGGGGGUUCGUCUGCAGUGCCAGGCUCUGUGGAAACAGGGAGAACAGGUGGGUGACAGGGUUUGAGCAAUGAAACAUGGAAUGUGGGAUGAAUCUUGUAUUGUG